GACAGAGGAUGCAAGCGUUAUCCGGAAUGAUUGGGCGUAAGCGUCUGUAGGUGGCUUUUUAAGUCCGCCGUCAAAUCCCAGGGCUCAACCCUGGACAGGCGGUGGAAACUACCAAGCUGGAGUACGGUAGGGGCAGAGGGAAUUUCCGGUGGAGCGGUGAAAUGCGCAGAUAUCGGGAAGAACACCCGUGGCGAAGGCGGCACUCUGGGACGGUACUGACGCUGAGACGCGAAAGCGUGGGGAGCGAACAGG
rnacentral:rRNA from 1 species